rnacentral:rRNA from 1 species
UACGGGGGGUGCAAGCGUUGUCCGGAAUCACUGGGCGUAAAGGGCGCGUAGGUGGCGUCGUAAGUCUGUGGUGAAAGCCCGGAGCUCAACUCCGGGUCUGCCGCGGAUACUGCGAGGCUUGAGUGCUGUAGAGGGGGGUAGAAUGCCGGGUGUAGCGGUGGAAUGCGUAGAGAUCCGGAAGAACACCAGUGGCGAAGGCGGCCCGCUGGGCAGUGGCUGACGCUGAGGCGCGACAGCGUGGGGAGCAAACAGG